rnacentral:rRNA from 1 species
GACGUAGGGCGCGAGCGUUGUCCGGAUUUAUUGGGCGUAAAGAGCUCGUAGGCGGCUUGUCGCGUCGACUGUGAAAUCUCAGGGCUCAACUCUGACAUUGCAGUCGAUACUGCCGGACUAGAGUUCGGAAGAGGCGAGUGGAAUUCCCGGUGUAGCGGUGAAAUGCGCAGAUAUCGGGAGGAACACCUAUGGCGAAGGCAGCUCGCUGGGACGUUACUGACGCUGAGACGCGAAAGCGUGGGGGAGCAAACAGG